AGUGAAGCGGCAACAGCUCAAAUUUGAAAUCUGGCCCCGGCGGGGCCCGAGUUGUAAUUUGCAGAGGGUGUUUCGGGCGCGAUGCCGGUCUAAGUUCCUUGGAACAGGACGUCGUAGAGGGUGAGAAUCCCGUAUGCGACCGGCGAUCAAGCCCGUGCGAAGCCCCUUCGACGAGUCGAGUUGUUUGGGAAUGCAGCUCAAAAUGGGUGGUAAAUUUCAUCUAAAGCUAAAUACCGGCCAGAGACCGAUAGCGGACAAGUAGAGUGAUCGAAAGAUGAAAAGCACUUUGGAAAGAGAGUCAAACAGUACGUGAAAUUGUUGAAAGGGAAGCGCUUGCGAUCAGACCGGUCCGCCGGCGAUCAGCCGCUGCUCGUCAGCGGUGCACUCGCCGGCGAUCCGGCCAGCAUCGGUUCAGGCGGCGGGACAAAAACCUCGGGAACGUAGCUUCUCUCGGGGAGUCUUAUAGCCCGGGGCAUCAUGCCGCCCGCCCGGACCGAGGACCGCGCUUCGGCUAGGAUGCUGGCGUAAUGGUCGCAAGCG
rnacentral:rRNA from 1 species